rnacentral:rRNA from 1 species
UACGUAGGGGGCAAGCGUUGUCCGGAAUCAUUGGGCGUAAAGAGCGUGUAGGUGGCUCGGUAAGUCCGCUGUGAAAGUCCAGGGCUCAACCCUGGAAAGCCGGUGGAAACUGUCGAGCUCGAGUCCGGAAGAGGCGAGUGGAAUUCCUGGUGUAGCGGUGAAAUGCGCAGAUAUCAGGAGGAACACCAAUGGCGAAGGCAGCGCGCUGGGACGGUACUGACACUGAGACGCGAAAGCGUGGGGAGAAAACAGG